AUUGAACGCUGGCGGCAGGCCUAACACAUGCAAGUCGAGCGGUAGAGAGGUGCUUGCACCUCUUGAGAGCGGCGGACGGGUGAGUAAUGCCUAGGAAUCUGCCUGGUAGUGGGGGAUAACGUCCGGAAACGGACGCUAAUACCGCAUACGUCCUACGGGAGAAAGCAGGGGACCUUCGAGCCUUGCGCUAUCAGAUGAGCCUAGGUCGGAUUAGCUAGUUGGUGAGGUAAUGGCUCACCAAGGCGACGAUCCGUAACUGGUCUGAGAGGAUGAUCAGUCACACUGGAACUGGGACACGGUCCAGACUCCUACGGGAGGCAGCAGUGGGGAAUAUUGGACAAUGGGCGAAAGCCUGAUCCAGCCAUGCCGCGUGUGUGAAGAAGGUCUUCGGAUUGUAAAGCACUUUAAGUUGGGAGGAAGGGUACUUACCUAAUACGUGAGUAUUUUGACGUUACCGACAGAAUAAGCACCGGCUAACUCUGUGCCAGCAGCCGCAGUAACAC
rnacentral:rRNA from 1 species